rnacentral:rRNA from 1 species
UACGAAGGGUGCUAGCGUUGUUCGGAAUCACUGGGCGUAAAGCGCGCGUAGGCGGCUUCUCAAGUCAGGGGUGAAAUCCUGGGGCUUAACCCCAGAAUUGCCUUUGAAACUGUGGAGCUGGAGUGUUGGAGGGGUUGGCGGAAUUCCUAAUGUAGAGGUGAAAUUCGUAGAUAUUAGGAGGAACACCGGUGGCGAAGGCGGCCAACUGGACAACAACUGACGCUGAGGCGCGAAAGCGUGGGGAGCAAACAGG